CAAUCAUCAGAAUAGUAGACUUUCAUUUAUUCAAUGUUCUUCCUCUUCUAGUGUCCUGUGGCAUUCCAGGAUGUGGCUGUAUACUUCAACCAAGAGGAAUGGGACCUUCUAAAUGAGGAGCAAAGAAUAUUGUAUUACACCGUCCUGCAAGAAAAUUCUGAAAACAUAACCUCUUUAGAGCUUUUGAUUUCCAAGCCAGAUCCGAGUCUCCAGCCCAACUGGGACGAAGAGUCACAGAUAGCUGAUCUUCAGACAUUCAAAGGAAAAGACUCUAUUGUUGAAGGAGUUGUGAAUUGGGAGGACAUAACAGUGGUUGAAUUGCCACCCCAAUAUCCAUAUGACUGCCUCCGUAAUGGUGAAUCUGACAUGAUCUUCCAGAUCGGAAGAGAUGGGAUGAUUCAGGAGUCUGAGAAAAGGAGUCAUCUGAGGGAUUCUUCUCCAGGUGAGCUGUUA